rnacentral:tRNA from 1 species
GGGGAUGUAGCUCAGUGGUAGAGAGCAUCACCAUGUGAGAUACUGGGUUCAAUCCCCAGCACCA